UGAGGAAUAUUGGUCAAUGGGCGGAAGCCUGAACCAGCCAAGUCGCGUGAGGGAAUAAGGCCCUACGGGUCGUAAACCUCUUUUGCCGGGAGCAAGGGCGGGGACGUGUCCCGGCCCGGAGAGUACCCGGAGAAAAAGCAUCGGCUAACUCCGUGCC
rnacentral:rRNA from 1 species